GCUCAAAUUUGAAAUCUGGCCUUCGGGUCCGAGUUGUAAUUUGUAGAGGAUGCUUUUGGCGAGGUGCCUUCCGAGUUCCCUGGAACGGGACGCCAUAGAGGGUGAGAGCCCCGUCUGGUCGGAUACCAAGCCUCUGUAAAGCUCCUUCGACGAGUCGAGUAGUUUGGGAAUGCUGCUCAAAAUGGGAGGUAUAUGUCUUCUAAAGCUAAAUAUUGGCCAGAGACCGAUAGCGCACAAGUAGAGUGAUCGAAAGAUGAAAAGCACUUUGAAAAGAGGGUUAAAAAGUACGUGAAAUUGUUGAAAGGGAAGCGCCUAUGACCAGACUUGGGCCCGGUGAAUCAUCCAGCGUUCUCGCUGGUGCACUUUGCCGGGCACAGGCCAGCAUCAGUUUGGCGCGGGGGAUAAAGGCUUUGGGAAUGUGGCUCCCUCGGGAGUGUUAUAACCCAUUGCGCAAUACCCUGCGCCGGACUGAGGUACGCGCAUCGCAAGGAUGCUGGCGUAAUGGUCAUCAGCGA
rnacentral:rRNA from 1 species